rnacentral:rRNA from 1 species
AGUGAGCGCUGGCGGUAGGCCUAACACAUGCAAGUCGAACGGCAGCACAGUAAGAGCUUGCUCUUACGGGUGGCGAGUGGCGGACGGGUGAGGAAUACAUCGGAAUCUACUUUUUCGUGGGGGAUAGCGUAGGGAAACUUACGCUAAUACCGCAUACGACCUACGGGUGAAAGCAGGGGAUCUUCGGACCUUGCGCGAUUGAAUGAGCCGAUGUCGGAUUAGCUAGUUGGCGGGGUAAAGGCCCACCAAGGCGACGAUCCGUAGCUGGUCUAAGAGGAUGAUCAGCCACACUGGAACUGAGACACGGUCCAGACUCCUACGGGAGGCAGCAGUGGGGAAUAUUGGACAAUGGGCGCAAGCCUGAUCCAGCCAUACCGCGUGGGUGAAGAAGGCCUUCGGGUUGUAAAGCCCUUUUGUUGGGAAAGAAAAGCAGCAGGUUAAUACCCCGCUGUUCUGACGGUACCCAAAGAAUAAGCACCGGCUAACUUCGUG